rnacentral:rRNA from 1 species
UACAGAGGUGGCAAGCGUUGUUCGGAAUUACUGGGCGUAAAGGGCGCGUAGGCGGCCCGUCAAGUCCCGUGUGAAAGCCCCCGGCUCAACCGGGGAACUGCACGGGAAACUAGCAGGCUUGAGUUCGGGAGAGGGAAGCGGAAUUUCGGGUGUAGCGGUGAAAUGCGUAGAUAUCGGGAGGAACAUCAGUGGCGAAGGCGGCCUUCUGGUCCAGUACUGACACUCAAGUGCGAAAGCGUGGGGAGCAAACAGG